rnacentral:rRNA from 1 species
CGCACUCCUACGGGAGGCAGCAGUGGGGAAUAUUGCACAAUGGGCGCAAGCCUGAUGCAGCCAUGCCGCGUGUAUGAAGAAGGCCUUCGGGUUGUAAAGUACUUUCAGCAGUGAGGAAGGUGGAUAUGUUAAUAGCAUACUCAUUUGACGUUAGCUGCAGAAGAAGCACCGGCUAACUCCGUGCCAGCAGCCGCGGUAAUACGGAGGGUGCGAGCGUUAAUCGGAAUUACUGGGCGUAAAGCGCAUGCAGGUGGUUUGUUAAGUCAGAUGUGAAAGCCCGGGGCUCAACCUCGGAAUUGCAUUUGAAACUGGCAAACUAGAGUACUGUAGAGGGGGUAGAAUUUCAGGUGUAGCGGUGAAAUGCGUAGAGAUCUGAAGGAAUACCGGUGGCGAAGGCGGCCCCCUGGACAGAUACUGACACUCAGAUGCGAAAGCGUGGGGAGCAAACAGGAUUAGAUACCCUGGUAG